AUGGGGCUCAGUUCUAGUAGCAAAAGAAGAUGGGAGAAUAGGCCUUGGGUAUAACUAUCAGUCUCUGCAAUAGGCGGCAAGAUGGUGUUCACAAAGGCCAACAUUUUUCAUGGCGAGAUGUCUAGAAUUUGAACUUUAGAAUGAUCCUUCUGGUCAAUUUAAAUCUGCUGUGAAGCAAGUUGCCCACCUACAGGACAUGGAAUGGAAGGACAUGGAAGAUACAAAUAGAGUCGGACAAGAAAGACUUUACCUAACUCUGGAGGAAUCAGCUUUGAGGAGACCUACAAAGGUUUUACAGAUGUGAAAAUUAAGAAACAGAGAGAAGAGACUAUUCAAAGCAGUUGAACACUGGAUAAGAGCUGGAUUUGAGUUUGACAGCCCUGAGUUCCAAUCCUGGUUCCAUCACACACUCGCUAAAUGACCUUGGCAAAGUAGUUGACUCUCUGUGAAUCUCUCUUAAGGCCAUUCAGGCUAACUAAGAUUUAGUUACCUAAGUUUUAAAAAUUAACCAUGUAGGCUGAGAGUCUACGCAUUUGAAUAUUCAUUAAAUCAUGAUGGAGAUAUGAAUUGACCAAAUUCUUCUUUCUCUUCAACAAAUCUUUAUUAAAAAUGCAUCAUGGGUCAGGUAUUAUACUAGUUAAUGAAGAGACAAAGAUGAAAAAGACAUCUCAAGAAACAUUGAAAAAGUUUCCGUAAAUAUUAAUAUCAAACCAGUAAAAUAAUAUGUAGUGUGUCAGCUUGCUGUCAUUUAAGUUAAAUCUUGCAUGGACCUCAUAAUUCUCGAACUUCUCUUGAGUUCCUUCAUUUG
rnacentral:lncRNA from 1 species